rnacentral:rRNA from 1 species
AUGUUCACCAGGAGAGGAGGCCCCACAUCCACCAGGAGAGGAGGCCCGCGACCUCCCCACCGUCUAUCCCCGCCUCCCCCAAGCUCGCUGUCUCUGCCCUCCGUCGUCUCCGCUCCGUCCACCACCUCAUCGUGGUCAGGACUCUGUUUUGUGUUGACCAUGAAUCACUGUGAAAAAUGCUCUUGUCAAGGUGAAAUCACUAUGAAAAAUUCUCUUGUCAAGGUGAAAUCUAAGCAGUACUGUACUGGCAAGAAAAAAAGGAUAAAAGACAAAAAUUAUUGUCAUCUAGGAAGGGGUCGUAUGGAACCGCAGAACUGUUAA